GACGAACGCUGGCGGCGUGCCUAAUACAUGCAAGUUGAGCGCUGAAGGUUGGUACUUGUACCAACUGGAUGAGCAGCGAACGGGUGAGUAACGCGUGGGGAAUCUGCCUUUGAGCGGGGGACAACAUUUGGAAACGAAUGCUAAUACCGCAUAAAAACUUUAAACACAAGUUUUAAGUUUGAAAGAUGCAAUUGCAUCGCUCAAAGAUGAUCCCGCGUUGUAUUAGCUAGUUGGUGAGGUAAAGGCUCACCAAGGCGAUGAUACAUAGCCGACCUGAGAGGGUGAUCGGCCACAUUGGGACUGAGACACGGCCCAAACUCCUACGGGAGGCAGCAGUAGGGAAUCUUCGGCAAUGGACGAAAGUCUGACCGAGCAACGCCGCGUGAGUGAAGAAGGUUUUCGGAUCGUAAAACUCGGUUGGUAGAGAAGAACGUUGGUGAGAGUGGAAAGCUCAUCAAGUGACGGUAACUACACAGAAAGGGACGGCUAACUACGUG
rnacentral:rRNA from 1 species